UCCGGAUGUUAGGUACCAUUGCUAGAUGGUUACUUUGAUUUGUACAGGAAUUGGUUCCUGUGCUACUGGCUUAGGUUCGAACCGUGGGGUCACACACAUUAGAGGUUCCUAUCUGAUCUGAUGGCUGAUGAAGAGUCCUAAUGUUCGUGGACUAUGAGUCCUAUGUGUCUGAGACUCUGUGAUCAAGAAUCAGGAUUCUUUGAUCAUGAGUCCCACACAUUUUGGGUACCGAAGUCAAGAGUCCCACUGGUUUGAGACUUUUCGAUCAGAAUUUCAUAUUGAUGAAUUCUGAUGUCCGAUUGCCCAUCGGAUUUGGACUCAAUAUUUAUGAGAUAUUUUAUUAGUGAUUUGAUCAUUAAUUAACUCAAUUUGAUUGAGUAAUUAUUUUUGGAUCAAGUCCAAUUGAAUUGAUUCAGUUGGGUUUGACCCGAUUAGGUUAAGAGUUGAC
rnacentral:lncRNA from 1 species